rnacentral:misc_RNA from 1 species
AACGCACAUUGCGCCCGGGAGUAAUCUCCCGGGCAUGCCUGUCCGAGCGUCAUUUCAGCCCUCGAGCCGCUUUUAGUGGAUCGGUGUUGGGGCACUACGGUAAAACGUAGGCCCCGAAAUGAAGUGGCGGUCCCGCCGCGGUGCCCCCAUGCGUAGUAACGUUUAGUCUCGCAUCGGGUCCCGGCGGAGGCCUGCCGUCAAGCCUAUUUAUUCUCAGAAUAGUUUGACCUCGGAUCAGGUAGGGUUACCCGCUGAACUUAA